CGUUAAUACCAACAAUUUUAUCCAUUGUGAUCCUGGACAUUAUUCUUUGCUGGUUCCAAAUGGCCAGAUCAUUCUGUAAUGACAUGAAGGGGUGCUGCCCUGGAGCAGCACUGUCCCUUUAAAUGUGGGAACCACUAUAGCAAAGAAAUAAGUGCCAAGACACAAAUGAAAUAGGUUAAAUCAAGAAAUAUAUAUUUACAGGGAACCAAAG